UGAGUGAGAAUAGAGAAGGAGGCCAG
rnacentral:piRNA from 1 species